CCUGAUUAGCUCUAAAAAAAUAAUCACCCGGGUGAACUCCGGGAGAAUUUUUGAGGGCUGUCUGAAAGGAGAGGGCUCCUGUUCUGCAGGUGCUGAGGGGACACGCCUGGCUGUGGGCAGCUACAAGAAGUCCAAUGCUCUUGAGGAACAAGAAACCCCCAAGCUUAACCCACCAAAAAGCAAAGUUGCUGAGUCUCCACUGAAACAUCGAGGAGGAGAUCCUGUCCCCAGCUGGAGAAGCAGCAGGGAGGAGG